rnacentral:rRNA from 1 species
CACUCCUGCGGGAGGCAGCAGUGGGGAAUUUUGGACAAUGGGCGAAAGCCUGAUCCAGCAAUGCCGCGUGAGUGAAGAAGGCCUUCGGGUUGUAAAGCUCUUUUGUCAGGGAAGAAACGGUGAAAGCUAAUAUCUUUUGCUAAUGACGGUACCUGAAGAAUAAGCACCGGCUAACUACGUGCCAGCAGCCGCGGUAAUACGUAGGGUGCAAGCGUUAAUCGGAAUUACUGGGCGUAAAGCGUGCGCAGGCGGUUUUGUAAGUCUGAUGUGAAAUCCCCGGGCUCAACCUGGGAAUUGCAUUGGAGACUGCAAGGCUAGAAUCUGGCAGAGGGGGGUAGAAUUCCACGUGUAGCAGUGAAAUGCGUAGAUAUGUGGAGGAACACCGAUGGCGAAGGCAGCCCCCUGGGUCAAGAUUGACGCUCAUGCACGAAAGCGUGGGGAGCAAACAGGAUUAGAUACCCCGGUAGUCCCAUG